rnacentral:rRNA from 1 species
GCUACGGGUGGCAGCAGUGAGGAAUAUUGGUCAAUGGGCGUAAGCCUGAACCAGCCAAGUCGCGUGCGGGAUGAAGGCUCUAUGGAUUGUAAACUUCUUUUAUGAGGGAAUAAAGUGCGGGACGUGUCCCGUUUUGUAUGUACCUUAUGAAUAAGGAUCGGCUAACUCCGUGCCAGCAGCCGCGGUAAUACGGAGGAUCCGAGCGUUAUCCGGAUUUAUUGGGUUUAAAGGGUGCGUAGGCGGCCUUUUAAGUCAGCGGUGAAAGUUUGGGGCUCAACCAUAGAAUUGCCGUUGAAACUGGGAGGCUUGAGUAUGUUUGAGGCAGGCGGAAUGCAUGGUGUAGCGGUGAAAUGCUUAGAUAUCACGCAGAACCCCGAUUGCGAAGGCAGCCUGCCAAGCCAUAACUGACGCUGAUGCACGAAAGCGUGGGGAGCAAACAGGAUUAGAUACCCUUGUAGUC